AUUCCAGCUCCAAUAGCGUAUAUUAAAGUUGUUGCAGUUAAAACGCUCGUAGUCGGAUUUCGGGGCGGGCCGACCGGUCUGCCGAUGGGUAUGCACUGGCCGGCGCGUCCUUCCACCCGGAGACCGCGCCUACUCUUAACUGAGCGGGCGCGGGAGACGGGUCUUUUACUUUGAAAAAAUCAGAGUGUUUCAAGCAGGCAGUCGCUCUUGCAUGGAUUAGCAUGGGAUAAUGAAAUAGGACUCUGGUGCUAUUUUGUUGGUUUCGAACACCGGAGUAAUGAUUAACAGGGACAUUCAGGGGCACUCGUAUUCCGCCGAGAGAGGUGAAAUUCUCAGACCAGCGGAAGACGAACCACUGCGAAAGCAUUUGCCAGGGAUGUUUUCAUUA
rnacentral:rRNA from 1 species